UGAAGUAUGUGCACGUUCAACUUGGCCUAUGUACUUGCAACUAGCUACCCCAAUUGUUUAGACACUUCAAUAACCCCGGCAUGCAUUGCAUGUCCAACAUGGAGCAACUAACUUAUACGGAGCUUAUAAGUUGGCAACCUGAGAGACAAGUUCACUUUAGUGAUGUGCGGAUGCCACCUCCAGCUGAGGGUAAAAAGGAUAUCGGGGAGGGAGAAGAGGUGGAGAUCUUCUCCCGGGCCAAUGAGCAGGAGCCAUGUGGCUGGUGGCUUGCCAAAUUGCGCAUGAUGAAGGGAGAUUUCUAUGUGAUCGAGUAUGCUGCCUGUGACGCCACGUACAAUGAAAUAGUCACCUUUGAACGUCUCCGGCCUGUGAAUGUCAACAAGGUGGUGUCAAAGAGCUCCUUCUUCAAAUGCACAGUCCCAGUUCCUACGAUCUGAAAGCAGCAGUACAAAGCAACUGGCAUCCGCUUUCCAAGAGGAGUUUACAGUCAGGGUGGACCUCAUGGGCCUUGCCAUUGGAAGCCAUGGCAGCAACAUUCAACAAGCCAGUCCCUGGAAUCACUGCUAUUGAGCUGGAUGAAGGGAUGAGCAAUAGACAGUGUAUGUACCGCCAAGACAUUUGUUUCUUAAUAAAGCUAAUAUAUUCUUCUUCAAAGAAUGAGGAGGCGGUUAAGAAGGCAAGGAAUUAUCUGGAGUUUCUCGAAGAUUCUGUUCAGAUCCCAAGGAAGUUGGUCGGCAAGGUAAUUGGCAAGAAUGGAAAAGUCAUUCAGGAGAUCAUUGACAAGUCUGGGGUGGUGAGAGUAAGGAUUGAGGGGGACAAGGACAACAUACAGCCACGUCAAGAAGGAAUGGUCCCGUUUACCUUUGUCGGCACCAAGGAGAACAUUGGGAAUGCCCAGGUGCUUCUGGAGUACCACAUCGCCUACCUGAACGAGGUAGAGCUACUGCGUAUGGAGAGACUGCAGAUAGAUGAGCAGCUUGAAGCUGAUUGGGAUGGGCCAAAGGCCUUCAUCUGGCAACUCAGCAGACAAGGACAAGAGCUACACCACGGACGACAGUGUGGCUGCUACCUCUGUGCACACCAGCCGCUCCUACACUGGCAGAGGCCGCGGACGCAGAGGCCCCAACUACACCUCCGGCUAUGGCACAAACUCUGAGCAAUCCAAUGACUCUGAGACUGACUCGGAGUGGAAGGAUGAGCUGAGUGACUGGUCCCUGGCGGGAGAGGAACCUGAGAGGUACCCAGCCACAGAGAGACAGCAGGAGGAGAGUUGGUCAAGGGAGGGGGAGAGGGCCCAGUGGCAGGGGCCGAGGAGCCUCCAACACCGCUCUAAAGGAUCAUGACGGCAACCCAUACAGUGUGCUUGACAACACGGCGAUCGACCAGACGGCCGACUCCAACCUCAACACAAACUGCCGCCUCCUCUCCCGCCGGACUGAUGAGCCAUUGAUGGCAUGAGUGAAUCGGACAAAGCUUCCCUCAGUGAGAAUGGCCUUGAUCCCGGGCUGAUCACAAAGCAGAUAGAUGAACUAAAAAAGAACUGGGGCAUGUUGAGUGUAUUGCAGAGCACAGCCUCUCCACAUCAGCAAAGAAAAGCAAUGGCCCCAGCAAUGGAAGAGGUGAGGAACUAGGCAGAGCUUCCACAGAAAGGGCUGCCAACGUCUGUUACCAAGGGAACAGUGACUAGCAGCCUGUCCUGAAUAGUGUUUUCUAAUCUAUGGACCCAUUAAUUGUACUAUAUUUGUACAAUAGUUAUUGUACAAGCUUGCCAAAGAUGGACAUAUGGACUUCCAUAUUCUCUACUGUACUUUUCAGUUCCCUAACCAUGGGACACGGGGGGAGAUUUAGCACUGAACCGAGACAUGAAAAAGCAUGUUUCAAGAUUAUCAGAUGUUGUGCCUUGAGAGUAGAUUUAACAUAGUUGCCUGGCUGUAGUAAAGUUGACAAAGGUGAGAAGAAUCCAGUUAUCCUAAUAUUUAUUGAGCUUUGGCAGAUUUUUUUUUUUUACACUUUUAUAUACAACCACUUGUAAAGAAAAACUAGGAAAUGCAGUUGUAGAGGGAAAAAAACCAUUUUGCACUGAAUUGGAAUUUAUUUCCCAUAAGAAAAAAGAUGGAAACUGGUCUGUCAAUGUUCUUGUCCCAUUUUUUUAUGCUGAACCUGUAUGCUGGGAUUCUGUUUCUCAUGCACCCACCAGAGGCUGGAAUGAUGGUGGCAGUAACUUGUCUGGAAGGAGCUUUAUUUUGUGUAUUUAAAAAUGUACAGUAUUUAAAAAGCUGUUAACACUGAACUGGCGGAACUACCGUGUUUUUAUGCAGGUGACAAUUUGGACUACUGAGGUCAAUUUCCAGAUUUUGGUUCGGUAAACUGUUUGUCUGUUUUUUAAUGAUCAUUCAGGUUGUUUGAUGUGCAAUAUGUUUUGUAUGCCAGUACUUCUUAAAUAAAACCUGAACUUUCAUCUAGAUCCAAAACCA